GAUUAACGCUAGCGGCAGGCCUAAUACAUGCAAGUCGAACGGCAGCGGGUGUAGCAAUACAUGCCGGCGAGUGGCGCACGGGUGCGUAACGCGUAUGCAAUCUACCUGUAACUGGGGAAUAGCCUUCCGAAAGGAAGAUUAAUACCGCAUAACAUCAUGAAGUGGCAUCAUUUUAUGAUCAAAACUCCGGUGGUUACAGAUGAGCAUGCGUGACAUUAGCUAGUUGGUGAGGUAACGGCUCACCAAGGCGACGAUGUCUAGGGGGUCUGAGAGGAUGAUCCCCCACACUGGUACUGAGACACGGACCAGACUCCUACGGGAGGCAGCAGUAAGGAAUAUUGGACAAUGGCCGCAAGGCUGAUCCAGCCAUGCCGCGUGCAGGAUGAAGGUGCUCUGCAUUGUAAACUGCUUUUGUUCGGGAAUAAACCCUUUCACGUGUGAGAGGUUGAAUGUACCGAAAGAAUAAGGGACGGCUAAC
rnacentral:rRNA from 1 species